GAGGCACCGUGCACAGACUGUCCUUCCUGCGGUACCUGUGCGAUGCGGCAGCAGCUGUCACGGAGACUCGUUUACCGAGCACGCCUAGAAAGGGAUGUCACGAUUUUGUGAGCCAGAGGAAUCUACACCACUUGGGAGCCUGCGGCACUUCUGCAGGCUGAACAGCGCGUCAAAGCAUCUGAUUUGCAUGCUGCCACAAGGUGUGUGCAAGACGGUCACUGCCACACACAUGAGAUGUCGGUACUCACUACUUCAUUCCUUGGAAGCGAUAUUCUUGGUCCCAACCAAGCAGCCCGGAAGAAAUCGGAGACAAAUAAAAUGUGCAAAGAAUACUAUUGCGUCUGUUAUUUUAUUGCAUGCAUGCAUGCCAGUUCCCCAUAGUGGGGCUACAGAAAUUCUCUCUAAUGUCUGCCUAAAUGCUGUAAUCCUGUGACCACAAUCUCGACAGACUUUCUGCAGAAAUGCUGUAUCCUGCAGCUACACAGAUUGAGCAGACUUUCUGCAGAAAGGGUGUACCAAUUGGGCGCUGGGAGGUGACAGGGGGUGACAGAAAGUCUGUCACCUGUCUUCAGAUAUUCUGCAUCCCGGGUGACUCGGGGUAUGCAGAAUUUCUGCAGCAAGUCUGCAAUGAUUUUUG
rnacentral:lncRNA from 1 species